GUUUCAGGGCGGGGUGCAAUUCCCCACCGGCGGUGAACGGCGUUGCCGUAAGCCCGCGACCGGCUGCGCAAAGCAGCCGCUGACUCGGUGUGAAUCCGAGGCCGACGGUAUAGUCCGGAUGAAAGAAA
rnacentral:ncRNA from 1 species